GGAGCCCGUCGGGCGGUCGCGUCCCAUUGGGCGAGGAAAGUCCGAGCUCCACAGGGCAAGGCGCAGGAUAGCCUCCUGUCAGGGCAACCUGAAGGAAAGUGCCACAGAAAAGAAAACGCCGGUAUUGCCGGCAAAGCUGAAACGGUGGUGUAAGAGACCACCAGCGGCCUGGAGACAGGCCGGCUGGGUAAACCCCGCCUGGAGCAAGCUCGAACUGGAGCGAGAGGGCUGCCCGUCCUGCUCCGCACUGAGCGCACCGCGCGCCCGGGCAACCGAGGCGCCCAGAUAGAUGACCGCCGCCCCGCGAGGGGUACAGAACUCGGCUUACAGACGGGCUCUCGCC
rnacentral:RNase_P_RNA from 1 species